CCGCACGAGCGCACCCUUGCCCUAUGUUGCCAGCGGUAUCAUGCCGGGGUACUCAUGGGGGACUGCCGGUGAUAAACCGGAGGAAGGUGGGGACGACGUCAAGUCAUCAUGGCCCUUACGCCCAGGGCUACACACGUGCUACAAUGGCCGGCACAAAGGGCUGCCAACCUGCGAAGGUGAGCGAAUCCCAAAAAGCCGGUCUAAGUUCGGAUUGUAGUCUGCAACUCGACUGCAUGAAGUCGGAAUCGCUAGUAAUCGUGUAUCAGCAACGACACGGUGAAUACGUUCCCGGGCCUUGUACACACCGCCCGUCAAGCCAUGGAAGCUGGGAGUGCCCGAAGUCUGUGACCCAACCUAGUGAGGGAGCAGCCGAAGGUAAGUUCGGUGACUGGGGCUAAGUCGUAACAAGGUAGCCGUAGGGGAACCUGCGGCUGGAUCACCUCCUUU
rnacentral:rRNA from 1 species